UACAGAGGUGGCAAGCGUUGUUCGGAAUUACUGGGCGUAAAGGGCGCGUAGGCGGUUUCGUAAGUCCUGUGUGAAAUCCCCCGGCUCAACUGGGGAACUGCACAGGAAACUGCGAGGCUUGAGUUCGGGAGAGGGAAGCGGAAUUCCGGGUGUAGCGGUGAAAUGCGUAGAUAUCCGGAGGAACACCAGUGGCGAAGGCGGCUUCCUGGCCUGUUCUUGACGCUGAGGCGCGAAAGCUAGGGGAGCAAACGGG
rnacentral:rRNA from 1 species